UAAUCACUCCGGAUGAAACUUCUUCAUAUUUUUAAGAAAAGUAAUAAUUUGUUAUUCUUCAAUAAUUAUAGUAUUAUUAUAUUUAAUCUUUUACACAUUAUAAAUUACAUAAUAUAUAAAAAAUUUAACUUCAAAAAUAAUCACCAUUCAUAUUUUAAAGCUAAAUUCAUUUUUGAACUUAAUAUUUCUCUUAAAACUCUUUUAAACAUGAUAUGAAUAUUUAGGUUUAGACAAAUAAGUCAACUCUUGCAUAGAGGUUGAAGUACGCAUGCAUUAGAUGCAUUUUCAGACUUAAAUAUCCAUAUAGUUGAUUAAUCAAAAUAGCUUAUUGUUCAGGAGAAUAUGUCACUACCUUUAUAAAGUCAAAGGUUGAGAAACUUUAAUGAACAUAUAAGAUAAGGAGAAUCUGGAAAGAUAUUUUUAUUGGUGUUAUAAAACUAUACAUUAACGGGCUAUUUAUUUGCAUCUGAAAUCUUUUAAUAAACUAUUCCAAAUCAAAACAACCGUUAUUAUCCCAAUAUGGUAAAACUACCUAACAAUCUAUCACAUCCCAUAUUUUUAUUGUUAAGUUUGCAUAAUUAUUUCAAAAAAUGAGUUCCUGGUUUGAUGGAUAAAAGAUAAUUAAGAGAUAGAAAAUUUAUCUUUAAGAUUUCAGUUCAAAUUUCUUCCCUUGCAUAAUGUUUAAUUUUUGCUAUUUUUUCUCUCAUCCCUAUUUUUGUGCCACCCCUACCUAGGUACCCUAGGUAUAAAUAUUAUUUUUUCUUUUCUGUCAGCUUUUCUCAUUUGUUUUUCUCUCUUGUCAUCCCACCCUCUCAUUUUCUCUCUACUCUUUCAAUUUUUCUCUCUUUUCUUCAACCUUGUGCUGCCUCAUAACCUAGUUUUAUCACCAUUGUUGUGUUGCCCCUCUACUUCUCUAUUGGUGGUGUUGUUUUGCUUUGUUUUCUUCCUCUCUUUCACCCUUUUGCUCAUUAUUUUGUUGCUUUUCUUUGUUGUUCAUUGCUUCCAUUUUUCUCCUCCCGUUGCCACACAUUUAAGCCCUUUGUUGUUGCCAUUUUUCUUGCAUUACCGCCUCUCUAUGCCCUCAUCUUCUCAUCUUUUUCUUCAUUUUUGGUUGUUGAUUUUUACCACCUUUGACCGAAUUCCCCUAGGCUAUUGUUAGUGUUCUUUUUAAUUCUGUGAUCACUAUUCAUCAUAGAUCUAAAGCGGGUGAAGCCUAAUUGCUGAUUUUUAAUGCGAUCCACAUCAUUUUCUUCGUUUCUUUUUAUUCUGUUGUUGCUGAGUGUGCUUGUGCUUUGGCCGAAUUUUACAUACUAACUUUCAUGUGUUUUAAAUGUUGAAAGACUGAAUCCAAAUGUCUCGAAUCAACAAUGACAUCAGAAAUCAUUCGUAUCUUCGUUAUAUUUUGAAAUAAGUUAAGUAGAGGUCCCGAAAGUUUGAAUUGAUUGGCUACUAUAAAUACUUGUUUUGGUCGAACCUUAUAGAGGUGCCUAAAGGCUAUUUUUAAUCAAAUUUUAUUCAUGUUGUGUACAGAUCCGGUCUAGAUUUGUUUAGAUUUAAGGCAUGAAAGUUGUGGAUUUUUGAGUAGUGCUGCGGUUUUGCGAAUACAAGAGCACUUGGGAGAAAAAGGAGUGAAAACUAGAGCAUUGGAGCAAGCUACAGAAGCUACACGAGCUAGACCAUUCUACACGACCAUGUGACCGACACAAGCAUGUGGUUGGCCGUGUCGAUUUCACGGGAUUUCAUACUAAACUUAGAAAAAUCAUGAUUUUUUAGGUUUUUUGAGCAUUCUAAGAUGUAUAUAUGACAACAAUAAGAAGAUCGGAGUGAGUCGUCAAAGAAUAUUUAAGAAGACAACUCGAGAAACACCAUUGAAGCCGACUUGGAAGUAAAUUUCUGUCAAGACUGAAGAUUCCCAGUUCAUUUCUUAGGAAGUUAUCACGAGUUUCUUUGUUUCUUUCGAUUAUAAAUUUUCAAGUAUGAACUAAUUUUUAAAUACCUCGGGAGAUGAAUCCUAUGAUGGAUUCUGUCAUUUAAUUUUUAUUUUACACAAAAAUUAUUUA